rnacentral:rRNA from 1 species
AUUAACUUAAAGGAAUUGACGGAAGGGCACCACCAGGCGUGGAGCCUGCGGCUUAAUUUGACUCAACACGGGGAAACUCACCAGGUCCAGACACAAUAAGGAUUGACAGAUUGAGAGCUCUUUCUUGAUUUUGUGGGUGGUGGUGCAUGGCCGUUCUUAGUUGGUGGAGUGAUUUGUCUGCUUAAUUGCGAUAACGAACGAGACCUUAACCUGCUAAAUAGCCCGGCUAGCUUUGGCUGGUCGCUGGCUUCUUAGAGGGACUAUCGGCUCAAGCCGAUGGAAGUUUGAGGCAAUAACAGGUCUGUGAUGCA